CACGUAGGGUGCGAGCGUUGUCCGGAAUUAUUGGGCGUAAAGAGCUCGUAGGCGGUGUGUCGCGUCGGCCGUGAAAACCUGCAGCUUAACUGUGGGCUUGCGGUCGAUACGGGCAUCACUGGAGUUCGGCAGGGGAGACUGGAAUUCCUGGUGGAGCGGUGGAAUGCGCAGAUAUCAGGAGGAACACCUAUGGCGAAGGCAGCACUCUGGUACAUGAUUGACGCUGAGACGCGAAAGCGUGGGGAGCAAACAGG
rnacentral:rRNA from 1 species